UCGUAACAAGGUUUCCGUAGGUGAACCUGCGGAAGGAUCAUUACCGAGUGAGGGUCCCUCGGGGCCCAACCUCCCAUCCGUGUUGUCCUGACACCUGUUGCUUCGGCGGGCCCGCCGUGGUUCACGCCCCGGCCGCCGGGGGGUUCACGCCCCCGGGCCCGCGCCCGCCGAAGACCCCUGGAACGCUGCCUGGAAGGUUGCCGUCUGAGUAUACAAUCAAUCAAUUAAAACUUUCAACAACGGAUCUCUUGGUUCCGGCAUCGAUGAAGAACGCAGCGAAAUGCGAUAAGUAAUGUGAAUUGCAGAAUUCCGUGAAUCAUCGAAUCUUUGAACGCACAUUGCGCCCCCUGGCAUUCCGGGGGGCAUGCCUGUCCGAGCGUCAUUGCUAACCCUCCAGCCCGGCUGGUGUGUUGGGCCGCCGUCCCCCCCCCGGGGGACGGGCCCGAAAGGCAGCGGCGGCGUCGCGUCCGGUCCUCGAGCGUAUGGGGCUUUGUCACACGCUUCAGUAGAACCGGCCGGCUUGCUGGCCACACGACCUUCACGGUCACCUAUAUUUCUCUUAGGUUGACCUCGGAUCAGGUAGGGAUACCCGCUGAACUUAAGCAUAUCAAUAA
rnacentral:misc_RNA from 1 species